rnacentral:lncRNA from 10 species
CUCCCUUCCAUUAAUCCAUCCAUCCAUUUAUUCUUUCAGCAAAUCCUUAGAGACCCCAGGGCACUAUCAUGAGUGAUACCUCUACUAAGAUGAACAAGACGCAGACUCGUUAGAGGGCUCACUAACUUUUGGAAAAGCAAACCUGUAAAUCAACACUUGCCAGAAUGGACCGCAGGAGCUCCUGUAAGGCCACUGACACAGCUCCACAUAGGCCUAUUGAGACAGGCUGAAUGACGGCUUGCCUGCCUGGUGCUGCUGCUCAAGGCUGUAGAAUCGUGUCUUUAAUUCAUUCUUUUGGCAAUUAUUUUUUAGGUACUUAUUAUGAUUCUGUGCUUGGCAACGAUCCUACAGUUCUGCACAGGAGAGACUCAGUGGCUAUAACAUGAGGAGCAUUAUGAUGGGGAUUAUGGGGUCCUCAGGACACACUGGAGGGCAUUUGUCCAGGUGGGCAGCCUCCUCAAGGAAGGGACAUCUAACAGAGGCCUGGAAGAUAAAUGGGACGUGGCCAGAUGGGAGUGGCCAGCCAGGGGCCAGAGAUGCAGGAAGCGUUCCACCCAGAGGAAACAGCAAGUGACAGAGUAGCAGGUACAGGACAAGGGCCUGAAGACCUUGGGCGAGGCUCUGGCAAUGGGGGGGACAGGGUAGAAGGACAUACUGGGUUUAGCCCGAGGAGGAAAGGAAGCGGUGCUGGGUUUUGAUAAGAAGUAGGCGACUUUGUCCUGAACCCAAGACCUGAGACAGAGCUCUGAAAAUUUCCAAAGGCAUUGUCCAGAACAAUAAGCACCAAGUCCAUGCACUAGCAAAGGCAUUGCCCAGAACAGUAAGCACCAAGCCCCUGCACUAUCAGACCCUCCCGCGGGACAGUUCUGACAGCAGGCCCAGGCCAUGCCAGAGGUGGAAGAGGCGGGUCAUCAGCUGCUCACUUCUCUUCAGCCCUGGAAGCCAGAAGCUGGGGGCUGGAGAGAGGGAAGAUGCUCUCAACUGGAUGGAAACCAUUCAAAGUUUUGACAUGACAACUUACAGGAUUUUUUAAUUAUUAAAAUGAGACUGAUCUUGGAACUACAUGCAGCUGGAGGGCUUUCAGUUAUCUGGGAAUGAUGGACCAAAAAAACCAAACCAACCAAACAGCGAUGGGACUUUCCUCAAUUCAUUCCGGACAAGUCAACAAAGAAGUGUAAAGGGAGUUACAGGGCACUUUGUUCCUUCCUGCUUCUCUGAUUCUCCCUGUGUGCUACAAGAGAUUUGCCUUUCAGAUGGGUUUUUCUGGCACUGGUGAGGGGAGGUGAUUAGCGGUGGGAGGGUGAGCCGAGAGACAAGCCGGGAAUGGCCUGGCAGCUGUGCUUGUCAUCCACACCACAGAUACUUCAAGGCUGGACUAUCCAGGGCUUUCACUAACUGAUGCAACAUGGGGAGAUUUUGUUCUGGAAGAUUCCAUGAUUUAAGGACUCCAGACCUCAACCCAGCUCCAUUCCCGCAGCCCCCCAGGCAUUCACUCAGAGCUGAUGGGAAUUUUUUUCAGCUCUCUGGACCAUGGCCAGCAUCAUAGCCGUGGUGUCUGCCUUGCUCUCUGAUCCGGGCUAUGACUUCCUGAAGGCACUGUUCCCCAUUCGCAGACGCAUGGACCCAGCCUCUAACCACAACCACACAUGAACGCACACGCAGCCCAGCCUCCUUGGAAGGAUUUGCAAGGGAUCGCCGUCAGGGGCCUCGAAAAUCAAAUACCAGAGAUAAGGGGUACCAGAGGGAGCCCAGCAGCCCCUGAGGCCCAACUGCUACCUUCUCAGUCCCCUGAGCACUGACUUCAUGUUGCCCGGCACAGAGGCCACUGGCUGUGUGGCUAAUGAACACUGGGAACGCCCACGCUCAAACUGAGAUGCUCUGAAAGUGUAAAAUACAUGCCCAAUUUAGCAGUCAACACAAGAAAAAAAGGUAAAAUAUUUCACACAUAAUUCCCAUAAAGGGUACCUGUGAAAAUAAUGUUGGAUCUAUUGAGACCAAUAAAAUAUAUUAUUAAAAUUAAU